AUUGGGUGCAUUUCAUUUUGUUUUGUCAAUAAGCUUUAUGAGCAUUUCUUGGAUUUUGGGGUUUGGAGUUUUACUGCAUUUUGUUGGCCAUUCAGUAUCUGCAUAUCUAGAUUAUUCGGUCUUAUUUUGAAAUAAAUUUGGUGCUUUUUACGUUUCUUGUAUUUGUCUUUGGACAUGGUUGAUAUGGACUAUGAAGGACUUUGUGGUACUUUUGUAUUCAUUCAGUUGGAGGGAGAGACAUUGGUCUUUGUGUUGUUAUCGGGUCUAUUGAAGCUUGAUAGAGUCUCACGGAGAGCUUUUGCAACAGUUUUGGUCUUUGGUCUCAUUAAGCCAAAGACAACCAGAAAGUUCACUAUUCAGAAUUGAAUAUGGAGAUCAAGGACGUGUAACUGGAUAUAUAUUCUCGUCAUGUUCGGAAUACUUGUAUCACAAGGGAACGAUUAUUUCAGUCUUAUGUCCUAGCGUCUAAUCGAUGUUAUACAUGAUUUAUCCUAAUUGGUUUUAUGAAUUGGUGUUAU
rnacentral:lncRNA from 1 species